GCCAAGUGUGGUGGUGCUCACCUGUAAUCCAAGCUAUUUGGGAGGCUGAGGCAGGAGGGUCACUUGAACCCAGGGGUUCAAGGCUGCAGUGAGCUCUGGUGACACCACCACACUCUAGCCUGGGUGACAAAGUGAGACCCUGUCUCUU
rnacentral:SRP_RNA from 1 species